AAUGACAACUAGACUUUGUCAUUUUCAAACCCAACUAUUCAUUAUGAAGUCCCAAGAGCUAUUCACCAAAAUCCUCAAGUAAAAUACGCUGGAGAAACAGCAAUUGAUAGAAAAUCACGUAAAUAAGACUAGAGUAAAAUAUAGUAAACAAAGCAUGAGAUGAGGAAACUAGACAUUUUAGUUCUGGUUUUAGUAAAAAGUCUUUGGGGAACUAGGUUUCUUCAUUUGUAAAAUUAUUUUUACUAGAUAAUUUGUUAGGUUUAAAAUUCUUGGCUAAAUUUGUUUUUCAUUUAUAUGAACACAGAGCUCUCAAACUCCCACAAUAUAACCAUCUCUUGAAUUUACAGAUUCAAG
rnacentral:lncRNA from 1 species